rfam:Capsicum annuum cultivar Zunla-1 chromosome 7, whole genome shotgun sequence
UACUCAUGAUGUGGACAGUCCCAAAGAAUAGGCUUGAAUCUUUCCCAAGCAUGAUAAAGGCUCUUAUCUAGCCUCUGUUUGUAGCUCAAAAUCUUCUUAUGAAGUA